AUAAUGAUACUUCCGGAGAAAUCCGGUCAAUUUGGAUGACGGUGCAAGACCGAUGU
rfam:Roseburia sp. 40_7 Ley3_66761_scaffold_5905, whole genome shotgun sequence.